GAAUCCUUCUUGGUCCUGGAGUGAUUAUAUGGGAAUGUCUGCUUUUGCUGACUUUUGUAAUGGAGACACAGCCAAAGAUGAGCACCACUGUUUGCAAAUAACUUUUAGUGAGGAAAAGAGUGGAUGCUUAGAGAGCAUGGACUGUGAAACUGAGCUCCCGUCUAUCUGUGGAAACAUUAUUAUGUAAUUGUGAAUCAACUCUAUAAUGCAUCAGUAAAAAGCACAAUGAUCUGCAUUUUUCUUUCUCUGUAUUUCCACACCAUCGCUAUGAUGCAAACAAUCAGGCAUCAUGUGCAAUGAAUUGGAGCUGAAUUUUCUGUAUGAUUAAAAGAAAGCUUUCUCCAGACCUUUACUUUGUAGAGUGAACUGUAUCUCAUUCUUAAAUUAAAACUAUUAGCAUUGCAA